UACGUAGGGUGCAAGCGUUGUCCGGAAUUAUUGGGCGUAAAGGGCUCGUAGGCGGUCCAUCACGUCGGGAGUGAAAAGCUGGGGCUUAACCCCAGUCCUGCUUCCGAUACGGGUGGACUAGAGGUAGGCAGGGGAGAACGGAAUUCCUGGUGUAGCGGUGAAAUGCGCAGAUAUCAGGAGGAACACCAAUGGCGAAGGCAGCACUCUGGGACGUGACUGACGCUGAGACGCGAAAGCGUGGGGAGCAAACAGG
rnacentral:rRNA from 1 species